UGGUUGAUGGUGAUAACCUUAUAUUGUCCUGAAGAGAGGUGAUGACUUAAACAUCAUGCUCAAUAGGAUUAUGCUGAGGCCC